rnacentral:tRNA from 1 species
GGUCCCGUGGGGGAGCCUGGAGUUCCCGUCGCCCUGUCAAGGCGAAGAGCGCGAGUUCAAAUCUCGUCGGGACCGCCU